GACGCGGAAGCGGCGCUGCCGGCGCGGCCCGGCCCGGCCCCUCGGGCUUCCGAGCCGCCCACCUGGCCGCCUGGGCCGGGGGCCCGCCGGGCCGGCACCUGCCCCGCCCGAACGAGGCGCGGAAAACCCGCGGCUUCCCUGCGCCCGGCAUCCGCUCCGCGACCGCAGCUCCUCCCCCGGCCUUGUCCAUGGCAUAUGAAAGUUCCUGGGCCAGGGAUCAAAACUGAGCAGGAGCUGCCUCCACCACAGCUGCAGCAACACUGGAUUCUUAAGUCACUGGAUCCUUAACCUGCCAGGGAUCAGACCUGCACCUCCACUGAGACAAACGAAUCACUAGCCCACUGCACCACAGCAGGAACUCGAAGGCAUAUUUUAAAAGUAACCGUCUCUGUGGAUCUCUCCAGGCGCCAGGCAAGAAAUAGAUUGAAUACAAUAGGAUGCUUGUGAGAGAUGCAAGCGGGCAGGACCAGAAGUAGUUUCUGCUUCUCCAUCCGGGGUGCAUCGAGAAGUUCGAGAGAAGCAAGUCGGCGGCCCACGGACCUCCUUGGGGGCUGCCCGGUUGUAAUCCGAAGCUGGCCCUGUGCUCAGAGGGCAGAGGAAAGGGGCAGAUGACUCCAGACCUACAAACCCGGAGCGGCAGGUUCCGAAGGGGAUUUGCCACAAGCCUUGUCUUAGGUGAAUCCAGCGCAGACGGACCCUGCCCCUGCCGGCAGAGGCUUCUGUGUUUAUGGAGAGGCCUUAGCUGGAUCCACUCGUGCACACAGUCUAUAGUCUCAUUGCCAUAUUAAUAUCUCAAGGCUUUAUCCUCGAGGCAGCUUCUGGAUGUAGAGGAAGCAAAUGGGGUGCAUGAUCUACGGACAGGGGAGGGGCGGGGGCGGGCAGCCUCCAAGUGCCAGGGUUCAGCUUGCAGGUCAAACCCUUGGGCACAUCUUCUCAGUGGCCCCCCCAGCACAAGUAUGGAUCCAUCUCCCAUCUCUGCAAGACCUCAAGUGGCUGCACAGAAGUGGUGAGAUUCUUUCUUUUUUUUUUUUUUUCACUUUUUAGGGCCACACUCGUGGCAUAUGGAAUUUCCUAAGCUAGGGGUCAAAUCAGAGCUACAGCUGCCAGCCACAGCCACAGCCACACCAGAUCCGAGCUACGUCUAUGACCGACACCACAGCUCACAGCAACACUGGAUCCUUAACCCACUGAGUGAGGCCAGGGGUCGAACCUGCAUCCUAAUGGAUCCUAUUCUGUAACUGUAACCACUGAGCCGUGAAGGGAACUCCCAAAAGUCAACAUCUUGCAUAGCUUGUUAUAUAACACAUUUUUAAAGGAAAUGUAAUGAGUGCUUAUUGCCAGAGUAAAUGAUAAUUUUUACUCUUUCUUUUCUAUUUCAAUGUAACAUACCGCCCAUGACACGUUAAAAUAAUCAUCAUUCCUUCCCCCCAAAUUUAAACCUAUUAAAUUAUUUUUUGAGAAAUUCUUAUCUAAAAUAUCUGCCAUUUUGCAGAACUCCUGCAGAUAUGAGUGAUUCGCUGUUUUAAUAAUUAGUGUGGGAAAAAAGAGGACACAUGGAGAAUUUUGAAAUAGUCCUGUUAUUGUUUACGGCAAUCUACAUGCAUGAAGAAAUAGCUAGUUUUAACCCAACAAAAUUACAAGUUCUAAAACUGACAGAACACUGUAAACCAACUAUAAUGGAAAAAAUAAAAAUCAUUUAAAAU
rnacentral:lncRNA from 1 species